UUAAGCGACUAAGCGUACACGGUGGAUGCCCUGGCAGUCAGAGGCGAUGAAGGACGUGCUAAUCUGCGAAAAGCGCCGGCGAGGUGAUAUGAACCUUUGACCCGGCGAUGUCCGAAUGGGGAAACCCAGUGUGAUUCGUCACACUAUCGUUAACUGAAUACAUAGGUUAACGAGGCGAACCGGGGGAACUGAAACAUCUAAGUACCCCGAGGAAAAGAAAUCAACCGAGAUUCCCCCAGUAGCGGCGAGCGAACGGGGAGCAGCCCAGAGUCUGAAUCAGCUUGUGUGUUAGUGGAAGCGUCUGGAAAGUCGCACGGUACAGGGUGACAGUCCCGUACACGAAAGCACACAGGCUGUGAACUCGAAGAGUAGGGCGGGACACGUGGUAUCCUGUCUGAAUAUGGGGGGACCAUCCUCCAAGGCUAAAUACUCCUGACUGACCGAUAGUGAACCAGUACCGUGAGGGAAAGGCGAAAAGAACCCCGGCGAGGGGAGUGAAAAAGAACCUGAAACCGUGUACGUACAAGCAGUGGGAGCCUCUUUUAUGGGGUGACUGCGUACCUUUUGUAUAAUGGGUCAGCGACUUAUAUUCUGUAGCAAGGUUAACCGUAUAGGGGAGCCGAAGGGAAACCGAGUCUUAACUGGGCGUUAAGUUGCAGGGUAUAGACCCGAAACCCGGUGAUCUAGCCAUGGGCAGGUUGAAGGUUGGGUAACACUAACUGGAGGACCGAACCGACUAAUGUUGAAAAAUUAGCGGAUGACUUGUGGCUGGGGGUGAAAGGCCAAUCAAACCGGGAGAUAGCUGGUUCUCCCCGAAAGCUAUUUAGGUAGCGCCUCGUGAACUCAUCUUCGGGGGUAGAGCACUGUUUCGGCUAGGGGGCCAUCCCGGCUUACCAACCCGAUGCAAACUACGAAUACCGAAGAAUGUUAUCACGGGAGACACACGGCGGGUGCUAACGUCCGUCGUGAAGAGGGAAACAACCCAGACCGCCAGCUAAGGUCCCAAAGUCAUGGUUAAGUGGGAAACGAUGUGGGAAGGCACAGACAGCCAGGAUGUUGGCUUAGAAGCAGCCAUCAUUUAAAGAAAGCGUAAUAGCUCACUGGUCGAGUCGGCCUGCGCGGAAGAUGUAACGGGGCUAAACCAUGCACCGAAGCUGCGGCAGCGACACUAUGUGUUGUUGGGUAGGGGAGCGUUCUGUAAGCCGUUGAAGGUGUCCUGUGAGGGGUGCUGGAGGUAUCAGAAGUGCGAAUGCUGACAUAAGUAACGAUAAAGCGGGUGAAAAGCCCGCUCGCCGGAAGACCAAGGGUUCCUGUCCAACGUUAAUCGGGGCAGGGUGAGUCGACCCCUAAGGCGAGGCCGAAAGGCGUAGUCGAUGGGAAACAGGUUAAUAUUCCUGUACUUGGUGUUACUGCGAAGGGGGGACGGAGAAGGCUAUGUUAGCCGGGCGACGGUUGUCCCGGUUUAAGCAUGUAGGCGGAGGUUCCAGGUAAAUCCGGUUCCUUGUUAACGCUGAGGUGUGAUGACGAGGCACUACGGUGCUGAAGUAACAAAUGCCCUGCUUCCAGGAAAAGCCUCUAAGCAUCAGGUAACAUCAAAUCGUACCCCAAACCGACACAGGUGGUCAGGUAGAGAAUACCAAGGCGCUUGAGAGAACUCGGGUGAAGGAACUAGGCAAAAUGGUGCCGUAACUUCGGGAGAAGGCACGCUGAUAUGUAGGUGAAGCCCCUGCGGGUGGAGCUGAAAUCAGUCGAAGAUACCAGCUGGCUGCAACUGUUUAUUAAAAACACAGCACUGUGCAAACACGAAAGUGGACGUAUACGGUGUGACGCCUGCCCGGUGCCGGAAGGUUAAUUGAUGGGGUUAGCGGUAACGCGAAGCUCUUGAUCGAAGCCCCGGUAAACGGCGGCCGUAACUAUAACGGUCCUAAGGUAGCGAAAUUCCUUGUCGGGUAAGUUCCGACCUGCACGAAUGGCGUAAUGAUGGCCAGGCUGUCUCCACCCGAGACUCAGUGAAAUUGAACUCGCUGUGAAGAUGCAGUGUACCCGCGGCAAGACGGAAAGACCCCGUGAACCUUUACUAUAGCUUGACACUGAACACUGGUCCUUGAUGUGUAGGAUAGGUGGGAGGCUUUGAAGCGUGGACGCCAGUCUGCGUGGAGCCAACCUUGAAAUACCACCCUUUAAUGGCUGGUGUUCUAACGUAGACCCGUGAUCCGGGUUGCGGACAGUGUCUGGUGGGUAGUUUGACUGGGGCGGUCUCCUCCCAAAGAGUAACGGAGGAGCACGAAGGUUAGCUAAUCCUGGUCGGACAUCAGGAGGUUAGUGCAAUGGCAUAAGCUAGCUUGACUGCGAGAGUGACGGCUCGAGCAGGUGCGAAAGCAGGUCAUAGUGAUCCGGUGGUUCUGAAUGGAAGGGCCAUCGCUCAACGGAUAAAAGGUACUCCGGGGAUAACAGGCUGAUACCGCCCAAGAGUUCAUAUCGACGGCGGUGUUUGGCACCUCGAUGUCGGCUCAUCACAUCCUGGGGCUGAAGUAGGUCCCAAGGGUAUGGCUGUUCGCCAUUUAAAGUGGUACGCGAGCUGGGUUUAGAACGUCGUGAGACAGUUCGGUCCCUAUCUGCCGUGGGCGCUGGAGAAUUGAGGGGGGCUGCUCCUAGUACGAGAGGACCGGAGUGGACGCAUCACUGGUGUUCGGGUUGUCAUGCCAAUGGCACUGCCCGGUAGCUAAAUGCGGAAGAGAUAAGUGCUGAAAGCAUCUAAGCACGAAACUUGCCCCGAGAUGAGUUCUCCCUGAGACUUUAAGUCUCCUGAAGGAACGUUGAAGACUACGACGUUGAUAGGUCGGGUGUGUAAGCGCAGCGAUGCGUUGAGCUAACCGAUACUAAUGAACCGUGAGGCUUAACCUU
rnacentral:rRNA from 1 species